rnacentral:rRNA from 1 species
UCUGUUUGAUCCUGCCGGUAGCAUAUGCUUGUCUGAAAGAUUAAGCCAUGCACAUGUAAAUACACACAGCCGAUACAGUGAAAUUAGUUAUGGUUCCAUGGAUCACUCCAUCUGUUAGUUGGAUAACUGUGGUAAUUCUAGAAUCAAUACAAGCCAACAAGCACUGACUCCUGGGAUGCAUGUAUUUAUCAGACCAAGACCAAUCCAGGCUCGUCCAGCUGCUUUGUGACCCCAGAUAACCUUCGGCCAAUUGCAGGUCCCUGUGAUGGCGAUGAUGCAUUUGGAUGUCUGCAUGGAGAUGAUACAUUUGGAUGUCUGCCCUGUCAAUGUUCAAUGGUACUUUCUGUGCCUUCCAUGGUGACAACUGGUAACUGGGAAUCAGGGUUCGAUUCCAUUGUUGAAACCUGAGAAACAGCUACCACAUCAAAGAAGGCAGCAGGCGCGCAAAUUACCCACUCCCAGGAGGCUGUGACAAAAACAAUUAUUUUUCCGAGGGCCCUUAAUUGGAAUGAGUACAUUUAAAAUACUUUAACGAUGAUCCAUUGGAGGGCAAUUACGGUGCCAGCAGUCACAGCAAUUCCAGCUCCAAAAGCAUAUAUUAAAGCAGCUGCAGUUAAAAAGGUUGUAGUUGGAUCUUGGGAUGGAGCAAGGCGAGUACCGCAUGUCAGUGUUCAAAGCAGGCCACUCACCUGAAUGCUUUAGCUAGGAAUAAUGCAAUAGGACAAGGGUUCUAUUUUGUUGGUUUUCAGAACUUAGACCAUGAUGUAGAGGGACUUUAGUUUAGUGCCGCUAUAUGUGACAUUCUUAGACCAGUGCAAGGUGAACCAAAGGGAAAGCAUUUGCCAAGAAUGUUUUCAUUAUCCAAGAAGGAAAGUCAGAGGUUUGAACAUGAUCAGAUAACUUCAUAUUUCUGGCCAUAAACAAUGUCAUCCACCGAUCCAAAGGUGGAUGACCCACCAAGCUGCUUCAGGAAAACCUAGACUUUGGGUUUCAGGGGGAAUAUGGUUGCAAAGCUGAAACUUAAAGGAAUUGACGGAAGGGCAGUACCAGGAGUGGAUCCUGUGGCUUAAUUUGACACAACAUGGGAAACCUCACCCGGCUCGGACACAGAAAGAAUCGACAGAUUGAUUGCUCUUUCUCGAUUCUGUGCGUUGUGGUGCAUGGCCGUUCUUAGUUGUUGGAGAAAUUUGUCCGGUUAAUUCUGAUAACAAAUGAGACUCCUCUAUGCUAUCUAGUUAUGUGACCCCCCAGCGGUCAGUGUUCAACUUCUUAGAGUGACUAGUGGCAUUCACCAAACACGAUUGAGCAAUAACAGGUCUGUGAUGCCCUUAGAUGUCCGUGGCUGCACGCAUGCUACACUGAAUGAAUCAGCAUGUGCCUACCCUUUGCGGACAAGUGUGGGUAACCGGCUGAACCCCAUUCAUGAUCAGGAUUGGGGAUGGAAAUUAUUUCCCAUGAACAAGGAAUUCCCAGCAAGUGUGGGUCGCAAACCUGCAUUUAUUAAGGUGCUGCACUUUGUAAACAAUGCCCUUCGCUACUACUGAUUGGAUGGUUUACUGAGUUCAUUGGAUCAGCCCUGCCAAUGUCAGCAACAGCCCUGGUGGAGCACCGACAGGAUGAUCAAACUUGACUAUCUAGAGGAAGUAAAAUUCGUAACACGUUUUAUGUUGGUGAACCUGUGGAAG